rnacentral:misc_RNA from 1 species
GGCAAUAUUUGUUGGUGUAUAUGAACCUACGAAGAGAAAAUUGCUGGACAGCUUCCCUGAAAACCUUAGUGCCUUAGCUCAUUUGACUGCAGGUGCUAUUGGCGGAGCUGCUUCUUCUAUUGUUCGUGUACCCACUGAGGUAGUUAAGCAAAGGAUGCAGACUGGCCAAUUUUCUUCUGCCCCUGAUGCGGUCCGACUCAUUGUUGCUAAGGAAGGGUUUAGAGGCCUUUAUGCUGUAAGGGUA